GAAGAUGUAGCCAAGUGGUUACGGCGAUUGAUUAGAAACUAAUUCCUCUUUGAGGGCGUAAGUUUAAAUCCUGCCAUUGUCG
rnacentral:tRNA from 1 species